CACCACAUCAUAUAUGGGUUCUACUGAUCAUGAUCACCGCCAGGGAGAUGAGUACAGAUCCUAUAUAUGUAUGGAGAUGAGCAUAAAGAUGUGCACCGGAGGCAUGGUGGUCCUCCUAUCUACGACCUCGUUAAUGAACUCUUCCAUCAAGGCCAAACAAACGUUUGGCCAGAGGGAUCUUUAGAGGAAACCGUACAGAACGCCAUUAAAACAUGGGAAAUGGAGCUUUCUCACAAAACUCGGUUACAGGAUGUGAACACAUAAAUCACGAGGCCAUCCAACAUCAAAACCAUCUAUGAAAUAAACAUUUUUGGAAAAUUCGGCUCGAAAAGUUGCCCGGGGCACCCUUAAAG